rnacentral:rRNA from 1 species
GACGAACGCUGGCGGCGUGCCUAACACAUGCAAGUCGAACGGAACUGUUUUGAAAGAUUUCUUCGGAAUGAAUUUGAUUUAGUUUAGUGGCGGACGGGUGAGUAACGCGUGAGUAACCUGCCUUCAAGAGGGGGAUAACAUUCUGAAAAGAAUGCUAAUACCGCAUGACAUAUCGGAAUCACAUGGUUCUGAUAUCAAAGAUUUUAUCGCUUGAAGAUGGACUCGCGUCCGAUUAGUUAGUUGGUGAGGUAACGGCUCACCAAGACCGCGAUCGGUAGCCGGACUGAGAGGUUGAACGGCCACAUUGGGACUGAGACACGGCCCAGACUCCUACGGGAGGCAGCAGUGGGGGAUAUUGCGCAAUGGGGGCAACCCUGACGCAGCAACGCCGCGUGAAGGAUGAAGGUUUUCGGAUUGUAAACUUCUUUUAUUAAGGACGAAAAAUGACGGUACUUAAUGAAUAAGCUCCGG